rnacentral:rRNA from 1 species
ACGCUCGACACCUACGGGAGCAGCAGUGGGGAAUAUUGCACAAUGGGGGAAACCCUGAUGCAGCGAUGCCGCGUGAAGGAAGAAGUAUCUCGGUAUGUAAACUUCUAUCAGCAGGGAAGAAAAUGACGGUACCUGACUAAGAAGCCCCGGCUAACUACGUGCCAGCAGCCGCGGUAAUCUGAGGCGGGCGUGGCGAAGGC